CUGAUUGGUCAGUCCGAAAGGUUAGCCGACGCGACCUUCUACUAGGUUUUGUUAGACUCAGUAUAGCAGUGUAACGAAUAAUACUGAGCCUAUAAGUUUACUGAGACUGAUUAUUGCUGGA